UACGAAGGGGGGCUAGCGUUGCUCGGAAUCACUGGGCGUAAAGCGCACGUAGGCGGCUUUCUAAGUCAGGGGUGAAAUCCUGGAGCUCAACUCCAGAACUGCCUUUGAUACUGGAGAGCUUGAGUCCGGGAGAGGUGAGUGGAACUCCGAGUGUAGAGGUGAAAUUCGUAGAUAUUCGGAAGAGCACCAGUGGCGAAGGCGGCUCACUGGCCCGGUACUGACGCUGAGGUGCGAAAGCGUGGGGAGCAAACAGG
rnacentral:rRNA from 1 species